CGCGUAGGCGGAAAUGCAAGCUUGGUGUGAAAUCCCGCAGCUCAACUGCGGAGCCGCGCUGAGAACUGCAUAUCUAGAGUUCAAGAGGGGAAGCUGGAAUUCCAGGUGUAGGGGUGAAAUCUGUAGAGAUCUGGAAGAACAUCAGUGGCGAAGGCGAGCUUCUGGCUAUGAACUGACGCUGAGGCGCGAAAGCGUGGGGAGCGAACA
rnacentral:rRNA from 1 species